UACGAAGGGGGCUAGCGUUGCUCGGAAUCACUGGGCGUAAAGGGUGCGUAGGCGGGUCUUUAAGUCAGGGGUGAAAUCCUGGAGCUCAACUCCAGAACUGCCUUUGAUACUGAGGAUCUUGAGUUCGGGGAGAGGUGAGUGGGAACUGCGAGUGUAGAGGUGAAAUUCGUAGAUAUUCGCAAGAACACCAGUGGCGAAGGCGGCCAACUGGUCCGAUACUGACGCUGAGGCGCGAAAGCGUGGGGAGCAAACAGG
rnacentral:rRNA from 1 species